GACGAACGCUGGCGGCGUGCUUAACACAUGCAAGUCGAACGGGUCUGCCCUGUUUUUUGCGGGGUGGGUCAGUGGCGAACGGGUGAGUAACACGUGAGUAACCUGCCCCUCACUUCUGGAUAACCGCUUGAAAGGGUGGCUAAUACGGGGUGUUCUGGCUGUGCCGCAUGGUGUGGCUGGGAAAGAUUCACUUUUGUGGUGUUUUGGUGGGGGAUGGGCUCGCGGCCUAUCAGCUUGUUGGUGGGGUGAUGGCCUGCCAAGGCUUUGACGGGUAGCCGGCCUGAGAGGGUGGGCGGGCACACUGGGACUGAGAUACGGCCCAGACUCCUGCGGGAGGCAGCAGUGGGGGGUAUUGCACAAUGGGCGGAAGCCUGAUGCAGCGACGUCGCGUGAGGGAUGGAGGCCUGCGGGUUGUGAACCUCUUUCGCCGGUGAAGAAGGUCCUGCUCUUUGUGGUGGGGUUGACGGUAGCCGGGUUAUGAAGCGCCGGCUAACUACGUG
rnacentral:rRNA from 1 species